rnacentral:lncRNA from 1 species
CUUCGGUGGUGGUGGAGAGUAGACGGGUGGUGGGUAGUAUACCUUCUUCGGUGGUGGUGGUGAGUAGACGGGGGGUGGGUAGUAUACCUUCUUCGGUGGUGGUGGUGAGUAGACGGGAGGUGGGUAGUACACCUUCUUCGGUGGUGGUGGUGAGUAGACGGGAGGUGGGUAGUACACCUUCUUCGGUGGUGGUGGUGAGUAGACGGGAGGUGGGUAGUAUACCUUCUUUGGCGGUGGUGGUGAGUAGACUGGUGGUGGGUAGUAUACUUUCUUUGGUGGUGGAGGAGACUUAUAGACGGGUGGUGGAUAGUAUACCUUCUUGGGAGGUGGGGGAGACUUGUAGACUGGAGGUGGGUAGUAUACCUUCUUUGGUGGUGGAGGAGACUUAUAGACGGGAGGAGGGUAGUAUACCUUCUUGGGAGGUGGGGGAGACUUGUAGACGGGAGGUGGGUAGUACACCUUCUUGGGAGGUGGGGGAGACUUGUAGACGGGAGGUGGGUAGUACACCUUCUUGGGAGGCGGGGGAGACUUGUAGACGGGAGGUGGGUAAUACACCUUCUUAGGUGGCGGAGGAGACUUGUAGACGGGAGGUGGGUAAUAAACCUUCUUGGGUGGCGGAGGAGACUUGUAGACAGGAGGUGGGUAAUACACCUUCUUUGGUGGUGGUGGAGAGUAAACUGGUGGUGGAUAGUAAACCUUCUUGGGUGGUGGUGGAGAGUGAUACACUGGAGGUGGAUAGUAUGAUUUCUUGGGUGGUGGAGGAGAAUGGUAUACUGGAGGCGGGUAAUAUACCUUCUUAGGUGGAGGAGGAGAAGC